UACGUAGGGGGCUAGCGUUAUCCGGAAUUACUGGGCGUAAAGGGUGCGUAGGUGGUUUUUCAAGUCAGGAGUGAAAGGCUACGGAUCAACCGUAGUAAGCUGUUGAAACUGUAAAACUUGAGUGCAGGGGAGGAGAGUAGAAUACCUAGUGUAGCGGUGAAAUGGGGAGAUAUUAGGGGGAAUACCAGUUGCGAAGGCGGCUCUCUGGCCUGUAACUGACACUGAGGCACGAAAGCGUGGGGAGCAAACAGG
rnacentral:rRNA from 1 species